GAGAGUUUUUAUUGGUGCUCCAAUAAAUAUUUGUUGCAAGUAUCUGAAUAUUUGGUUUUACCUUUGUCUUUCUACACAUUGCGGAAAAGCAUAGAGAUUGUCAUCCAGAAACAGUGAUAUCAAAUUAUUUAGCUUGCUUGGCUUGUCGGAAGGCAUAGUGGUAGAAAAGUAUCCAUUCUGAAGGGAGAAAAAUCUAUGUUCUAAGGCCAUAAUUUUGAGUAUUUAGGUCAUUCUAAUAUCAGUUAAAGAGAUUUGUAGCUUUGAGUGGUGAUACUGAGUAUUUUGCUUUGAAUGAAAAUAGCUAGAAGUUGUGGUUCGUAAAGAUGGUUCAGAAUGAUAUCCUACUGUUAUCUUCUGGAUUUGUUUAAUAUUACCAAGUUUUUGAAUAUUUGUGUUAAGAUAUGUACCAUAAAUA
rnacentral:misc_RNA from 1 species